rfam:Caldicellulosiruptor saccharolyticus DSM 8903, complete genome.
UGGUCGAAAGGGCAAACCUGUCGAAAGGCAGGGGCGCAAAGCCAUGGGCCUGUCGGGAGUAAAACUUCCUAUGGUUGCCAGGCUGCCGAA